CAUUGCGUAAGUGUGCGUGCAUGUUGGACCAAUCAGUCGCGAGCAAGCGCUCGCAAACGCACACAUUUAGUGUACCUUACUUAUACCGAUAGGACUUAAACACAAGCAUAAGCCACUCGCCUUCGUGAAUUGUAAGAACUAUAAUUUUGUACCUAAA